AGCUCUACGUGUUUUACGACAGUUUACGACCCUACCUGAUCUGUUCCACGCAUGCGCGACAACCGGAGUUUAAAAAUAGUGAAGAAAUGCGUCAUAUAACAACACCGGCGAACAUAUGGAGGCUAAGUAAUUUGUAUAAAGGACCAACAUGGACCAGUAUUUAUUUCAUGCUGCCCUUCGGCAGUACCUACUAAGUGGGAUGUCGAUGUCGCGGUUGACUGGAAGAGAGUCAUGCGGGUGGCCAACCACUUCGUUGUAGAUGAUUUGUCCAUGCUGAUGGCCAUGCAGCAUAGUUGAAGCAGACCUGUCAGAAAACAUGUCUAAGGUGCUAUGAAUCCUAUGACUAGAUACGCAUCCUAAAAUUACUAGAGGUUACGGAAGCUCCUUUUUGGAUCCAGCUUCAUUUGUGAAGACUUCAGAUGAUGCCAACACUCACAGAGACUUAAGACGAUGGCAACAAUAGAUGAAGCAACACUCACAAAGACUUUAGAUGAUGGCAACUAUAGAUGGACAUACAAAAUUGCCAAAUAUAAUAUUGUAAUUACUGCCCCAAAGCGCAAGUUUGCAGAUUUUUAACCCACUUUAUAUUGUUACAAAUACAAUAGAUGCUAACAUUUGAACAGAAAAUGUUUCCUCUUUAUUCUUGAGUUAAUUGUGCUGAUUUAUUCCCUUUUUUUUUAUCCACAGUACUUUGCCAAAAUUAUGUUUUGCAUCAUCCAAAUGGUUCAUUUACAAAUUACAGACAUUGUAACAACACAAAGUGGGUUGAAAUUCUGCCAACUUACCCUAUAAUAAUAAUAAUUGUCUUUUAACUGAACAUGACUUUAAACACAUGACUUGUAUUAUCUUAGAGCUAUUGUGAUAUUAAUAUUGUUUUGUUUCCAGAAUAUUCUCCUCAGUGAGUCACUGUUACCCCGGACUGAUUAAGGGAUUUUUUGUAACCUUGAAACAUGCAUUGGUUUUACUAUGGUCAAACUGCAGAUCUUAUUUCAAGGUUUUGUUACCAUGGUUCUACUACAGUAACAAUAUUGAAAUGCUGGAAUGAAACUGUGGUAACCAUAUUAUUUUAAAUCAUGGUAAAUUUGUGGUUACUAAAAUGCACUACUAUAUGUUGGUUUAAGAGCAUGAUUAUUUUUUUAUGUAUUAAUAAACCAUGGUUGAUUUUAUAUUUACCGUGGUUUUACUGCAAAUUAUGGUAAAAAAUUAUAGAAAACUUUUGCAUGGAGACAGAAAAAAAGUGUAAGCUGAAUGUUUCUAUUCG